rnacentral:rRNA from 1 species
GGAGGGGACCCCUAUCGGGCUCGGACUAAGCCAUGCGAGUCGGCUGGGGGACCUUUCCCCUGGCGGCGCACGGCUCAGUAAUACACGGUCAACCUGCCCUGGGGACCGGGAUAACCUCGGGAAACUGAGGCUAAUCCCGGAUAGGGGUGGAUUCCUGGAAUGGGUCCACCCCCAAAGUAGGCGGGGGAAUGGCCCCGCUGAGGCCCCAGGAUGGGACCGUGGCCUAUCAGGUAGUAGGUGGGGUAACGGCCCACCUAGCCUAAGACGGGUGCGGGCGGUGGGAGCCGGAGCCCGGAGAUGGGCACUGAGACAAGGGCCUAGGCCCUACGGGGCGCAGCAGGCGCGAAACUUCCGCAAUGCGCGCAAGCGUGACGGAGUGAGCCCGAGUGCCGCCCGCUGAGGCUG